rnacentral:rRNA from 1 species
ACGGAAGGCAGCAGUGGGGAAUAUUGCACAAUGGGGGAAACCCUGAUGCAGCGACGCCGCGUGAAGGAAGAAGUAUCUCGGUAUGUAAACUUCUAUCAGCAGGGAAGAAAAUGACGGUACCUGACUAAGAAGCCCCGGCUAACUACGUGCCAGCAGCCGCGGUAAUACGUAGGGGGCAAGCGUUAUCCGGAUUUACUGGGUGUAAAGGGAGCGUAGACGGAAUUGCAAGUCUGAUGUGAAAGGCAUGGGCUCAACCUGUGGACUGCAUUGGAAACUGUGAUUCUUGAGUGCCGGAGGGGUAAGCGGAAUUCCUGGUGUAGCGGUGAAAUGCGUAGAUAUCAGGAGGAACACCGGUGGCGAAGGCGGCUUACUGGACGGCAACUGACGUUGAGGCUCGAAGGCGUGGGGAGCAAGCAGGAUUAGAUACCCUGGUA